GCGCUAGUGGUCUAAUGGUAUGAUCCAAGCUUCCCAAGCUUGUGACCCGGGUCCGAUUCCCGGCUGGCGCA
rnacentral:tRNA from 1 species